rnacentral:rRNA from 1 species
CCUACGGGAGGCAGCAGUGAGGAAUAUUGGUCAAUGGACGAGAGUCUGAACCAGCCAAGUAGCGUGAAGGAUGACUGCCCCAUGGGUUGUAAACUUCUUUUAUAUGGGAAUAAAAUGUGCCACGUGUGGGAUUUUGUAUGUACCAUAUGAAUAAGGAUCGGCUAACUCCGUGCCAGCAGCCGCGGUAAUACGGAGGAUCCGAGCGUUAUCCGGGUUUAUUGGGUUUAAAGGGAGCGUAGUUGGAUUUUGAAGUCAGUUGUUAAAGUUUGGGGCUCAACCGUAACAUUGCAGUUGAAACUGGCAGUCUUGAGUACAGUAGAGGUGUGCGGAAUUCGUGGUGUAGCGGUGAAAUGCAUAGAUAUCACGAAGAACUCCGAUUGCGAAGGCAGUUCACUGGACUGCAACUGACACUGAGGCUCGAAAGUGUGGGUAUCAAACAGGAUGAGAUACCCGGGUAGUC